rnacentral:ncRNA from 2 species
UGAAUCCGUGCGGGAGAGUCCUUUGUCGUUCGCGACCAGGGCGCCGAAGGAGCAAAUCCUCCCCGGAAUCUCUCAGGCACACGUACCGCACGGACGAG